UGGGAGUGUGAGCACCUGCCUUUUUGAGCCUGAGAAACUCAUAAGGAGAAGAGGGUUGAGAAAAGGCAGAGGGAGACACAACUGUUAUCUUGACAUUCAUGUCAUAUGGAAAACUGAAGGAGCAGAGGGAGGCAUUUAUUUCCAGAAGAGGUCAGAGAGCAUAAUCAGGGGACAGAGACUAAAUAUUUGGCUUUCUUAGAAGACUGGGUUUUUAUUAAAGAGGUGGUUCUCCUUUCAAAUUAGUCUUAUGUCUCCCAAGAAAGACAUCAUGGGAAUGUCAAGAUUGAUCCAUUAGUAUCUUUUGUCUGUCAUCUAAGUGCUGCUCUUAGGAUGAUUAGAGUGUCAGAAAGACGGAGUUUCACUCUUGUUG